UGCCUACUGAUCUUGAUCUCUUGCCAGUU
rnacentral:piRNA from 1 species